UUUACUCUGUCGUGUUACGGAGCUCUGUGCCUUCCGCGCUGGAUUUUAGAAGUGAAGAUAAAUAAAAUAUGAUUCUUGGUUAUAACCAAGCAUCUGCUGAAUUGUCGACUUCAAACAUGUGUGAUAUUUACACUCUACGUGAACGGAUCCGACAUGGCGCCGCAGUAUAGACAAUUUCUGCUUCUGCUGGUGCAGUCAUAUCUUGUUGUUUACCAUCUUGAUCAACAUUUUACCACCAACUUUUCUUCUUCUAUCAGAGAAACUCAGAAGGUCUCUUGGUGCAGACAACAUGGUACACACUGUCUGUACCAUGAAGCUAUCCCGAAAAGGAAGCAACAGAAUAUGGAGCCUUGGCUGUCUGGGCAUGCUGCAAGUUGUAGUUUUGCGACAGCUGGAGGCACCGUGGUUGAGAAGCAUUGCCUUACACUACACUUUUCUGUCCUAUUCAAGGUCUAUGGACAAGAAGAUGACAUCCCUUGCAGGUAAAACAUUCCUCAUCAAAAUCAUGGCAGAUGAAUACAACAAUUCAAGUAUGAACUUACCCAGAAGAAGAAAUUGAAGAGAAAAAGCAGAUACUUGACACAGACGGUGCCCCUGUCAUCCUUCUCCUCAUCCAGAGCAUGCCCCAUCUCGGCAGAGUCUAAAAAUAAGCAGUCGAUAACUUACUAACCGCUCGGCUUCUGUA